UACGAAGGGGACUAGCGUUGUUCGGAAUUACUGGGCGUAAAGCGCACGUAGGCGGAUUUGUAAGUCAGGGGUGAAAUCCCGGGGCUCAACCUCGGAACUGCCUUUGAUACUGCAAAUCUCGAGUCCGAUAGAGGUGGGUGGAAUUCCUAGUGUAGAGGUGAAAUUCGUAGAUAUUAAGUGGAACACCGGUGGCGAAGGCGGCCUUCUGGACGAUGACUGACGCUGAGACGCGAAAGCGUGGGGAGCAAACAGG
rnacentral:rRNA from 1 species